UGGGAAUAUUGGACAAUGGGCGCAAGCCUGAUCCAGCAAUGCCGCGUGAGUGAUGAAGGCCUUAGGGUUGUAAAGUCUCUUUCAGCAACGCGACGAUGAUGACGGUAGCGUGAGAAGAAGCCCCGGCUAACUUCGUGCCAGCAGCCGCGGUAAUACGAAGGGGGCUAGCGUUGUUCGGAAUUACUGGGCGUAAAGGGCGCGUAGGCGGCCUGUUUAGUCAGAAGUGAAAGCCCCGGGCUCAACCUGGGAAUAGCUUUUGAUACUGGCAGGCUUGAGUUCCGGAGAGGAUGGUGGAAUUCCCAGUGUAGAGGUGAAAUUCGUAGAUAUUGGGAAGAACACCGGUGGCGAAGGCGGCCAUCUGGACGGACACUGACGCUGAGGCGCGAAAAGCGUGGGGAGCAAACAGGAUUAGAUACCCUGGUAGUCCACGCCGUAAACG
rnacentral:rRNA from 1 species